ACCUGGGUGGCUCAGUUGGUUGAGCAUCUGACUUCUGCUCAGGUCACAAUCUCACAGUUGUAAGUUCGAGCCCCACUUCGGGCU
rnacentral:tRNA from 1 species